rnacentral:sRNA from 1 species
UUGACAGCACUGAAGACCAAAGUCCUUUAUUUAUGCAUGAGCAGCAACAGUGCAAGCUUUCCCACACUGCCCUGCCAAUAUGCUUCACCCUUGACCUAAAGGAACCCCCUCUAGGGGUGAAAGCUUAGUAGUCUUCAUAGCCAUUCAAUCUUUGGGCUCG